CCCUAGUAACGGCGAGUGAAGCGGCAACAGCUCAAAUUUGAAAUCUGGCGUCUUUGGCGUCCGAGUUGUAAUUUGCAGAGGGCGCUUUGGCAUUGGCAGCGGUCCAAGUUCCUUGGAACAGGACGUCACAGAGGGUGAGAAUCCCGUACGUGGUCGCUAGCCUUUACCGUGUAAAGCCCCUUCGACGAGUCGAGUUGUUUGGGAAUGCAGCUCUAAAUGGGAGGUAAAUUUCUUCUAAAGCUAAAUACUGGCCAGAGACCGAUAGCGCACAAGUAGAGUGAUCGAAAGAUGAAAAGCACUUUGGAAAGAGAGUUAAAAAGCACGUGAAAUUGUUGAAAGGGAAGCGCUUGCAGCCAGACUUGCCUGUAGUUGCUCAUCCGGGUUUUUACCCGGUGCACUCUUCUACGGGCAGGCCAGCAUCAGUUUGGGCGGUUGGAUAAAGGUCUCUGUCACGUACCUCCUCUCGGGGAGAUCUUAUAGGGGAGACGACAUGCAACCAGCCUGGACUGAGGUCCGCGCAUCUGCUAGGAUGCUGGCGUAAUGGCUGUAAGCGGCCCGUCUUGAAACACGGACCAAGGAGUCUAACAUCUAUGCGAGUGUUUGGGUGUCAAGCCCGAGCGCGUAAUGAAAGUGAACGGAGGUGGGAACCUUUCGGGGUGCACCAUCGACCGAUCCUGAUGUCUUCGGAUGGAUUUGAGUAAGAGCAUAGCUGUUGGGACCCGAAAGAUGGUGAACUAUGCUUGAAUAGGGUGAAGCCAGAGGAAACUCUGGUGGAGGCUCGCAGCGGUUCUGACGUGCAAAUCGAUCGUCAAAUUUGGGCAUAGGGGCGAAAGACUAAUCGAACUAUCUAGUAGCUGGUUCCUGCCGAAGUUUCCCUCAGGAUAGCAGUAACGUUUUCAGUUUUAUGAGGUAAAGCGAAUGAUUAGAGGCCUGGGGGUUGAAACAACCUU
rnacentral:rRNA from 2 species